rnacentral:rRNA from 1 species
UACGGGAGGCAGCAGUGGGGAAUAUUGCACAAUGGGCGAAAGCCUGAUGCAGCUAUGCCGCGUGUAUGAAGAAGGCCUUAGGGUUGUAAAGUACUUUCAUCGGGGAGGAAAAAACAAAACUAAUAAUUUUAUUUCUUGACGUUACCCGAAAAAGAAGCACCGGCUAACUCCGUGCCAGCAGCCGCGGUAAUACGGAGGGUGCUAGCGUUAAUCAGAAUUACUGGGCGUAAAGAGCACGUAGGUGGUUUUUUUAAGUCAGAUGUGAAAUCCCUGGGCUUAACCUAGGAACUGCAUUUUGAAACUGAAAUACUAGAGUAUCGUAGAGGGAGGUAGAAUUCUAGGUGUAGCGGUGAAAUGCGUAGAUAUCUGGAGGAAUACCUGUGGCGAAAGCGGCCUCCUAAACGAAUACUGACACUGAGGUGCGAAAGCGUGGGGAGGCAAACAGGGAUUAGAUACC